CAUCCCCUGCGGUGUUCGUUUGCAGCCCGGGUAUUUUCUUGAGCCUAAUUCCUACCCUGGGGUCAUAAUGAAAGCGCCGGUGUGCAUGUCCGCUCUCAUGCGGAAAGCCUGAAGCGCCUCUGUUGACCCCACUUGAACCAACUGGUUCAAGAACAAAGGUCAGCGACGGCACAGGUGGGGGAUGU
rnacentral:other from 1 species